GACGAACGCUGGCGGCGCGCCUAACACAUGCAAGUCGAACGGAGAAAGAGACAGCUUGCUGGAUCUUUCUUAGUGGCGGACGGGUGAGUAACACGUGAGCAACCUGCCCCUCAGAGUGGAAUAACGUUUGGAAACGAACGCUAAUACCGCAUAACACCAUUGGAUGGCAUCAUCCGAUGGUCAAAGAUUUAUCGCUGAGGGAUGGGCUCGCGUCCGAUUAGGUAGUUGGUGAGAUAACAGCCCACCAAGCCGACGAUCGGUAGCCGGACUGAGAGGUUGAACGGCCACAUUGGGACUGAGACACGGCCCAGACUCCUACGGGAGGCAGCAGUGGGGGAUAUUGCACAAUGGGGAAACCCUGAUGCAGCGACGCCGCGUGAGGGAAGACGGUUUUCGGAUUGUAACCUCUGUCUUCGGGGACGGAACAAAUGACGGUACCCGAGGAGGAAGCC
rnacentral:rRNA from 1 species